GACGAACGCUGGCGGCGUGCUUAACACAUGCAAGUCGAACGGAAAGGCCCCCUUGUGGGGUACUCGAGUGGCGAACGGGUGAGUAACACGUGAGUAACCUACCCUUGACUUUGGGAUAACUUCAGGAAACUGGGGCUAAUACCGGAUAGGAGCUCCUGCUGCAUGGUGGGGGUUGGAAAGUUUCGGCGGUUGGGGAUGGACUCGCGGCUUAUCAGCUUGUUGGUGGGGUAGUGGCUCACCAAGGCUUUGACGGGUAGCCGGCCUGAGAGGGUGACCGGCCACAUUGGGACUGAGAUACGGCCCUGACUCCUACGGGAGGCAGCAGUGGGGAAUAUUGCACAAUGGGCGGAAGCCUGAUGCAGCAACGCCGCGUGCGGGAUGACGGCCUUCGGGUUGUAAACCGCUUUCGCCUGUGACGAAGCGUGAGUGACGGUAAUGGGUAAAGAAGCACCGGCUAACUACGUG
rnacentral:rRNA from 1 species